AAGAUGAGAAGAUUAACAUUAGAAACACGGUAACUCACUCAAUUACCUAAACAUGUAGCAUAAAAUCAGGCAGAAAAGACUUCCUCUUAUUGGUCUGCUUUCCUAGAAUUAACCAGGUGCUUUGUGCACAUUAAUACAUGACUUCUAUUGGCAGCUGCUCUACUCCUGGUCUACAGAGAGCUGACGGUGCAUCCAGAUGUGGCCCCUGAACAAUCCCUGCUGCCCAGCAGCCCUGACACCACGGGGCCCACACCCCGUCUCCAUCCACGUCUGGGGAGAGCCCUUCCCAGGACCAUGCCCAGUGCAGCCUCUUCCCAGGCUCAUGUCACUGGGUCACCAGACAUGGAAUCUAAGCAAGGUAAGGGACUGAAGGAAGGCAUGGGUGAGUGCCAGCAAACCUGUCAGGCAGGACACUUCAGACUUAGAGAAGAUUCCCAACUCCAAGGCCCAGCAUUUCUGAAAGGAAGGAGACAGAAC